UACGGAAGGCAGCAGUGGGGAAUAUUGCACAAUGGGCGCAAGCCUGAUGCAGCCAUGCCGCGUGUAUGAAAAGGCCUUCGGGUUGUAAAGUACUUUCAGUCGUGAGGAAGGUGUUAAGGUUAAUAACCUUAGCAAUUGACGUUAGCGACAGAAGAAGCACCGGCUAACUCCGUGCCAGCAGCCGCGGUAAUACGGAGGGUGCGAGCGUUAAUCGGAAUUACUGGGCGUAAAGGGCACGCAGGCGGUUAAUUAAGUUGGAUGUGAAAUCCCCGGGCUUAACCUGGGAAUGGCAUUCAAGCUGGUUAGCUAGAGUCUUGUAGAGGGGGUAGAAUUCCAUGUGUAGCGGUGAAAUGCGUAGAGAUGUGGAGGAAUACCGGUGGCGAAGGCGGCCCCUGGACAAAGACUGACGCUCAUGUGCGAAAGCGUGGGGAGCAAAC
rnacentral:rRNA from 1 species